CUACGGAGGGUGCAAGCGUUACUCGGAAUCACUGGGCGUAAAGCGCGCGCAGGCGGCUAUUUAAGUUGGAUGUGAAAGCCUACGGCUCAACCGUAGAACUGCAUCCAAAACUAUUUAGCUAGAGUGUGGGAGAGGAAGAUGGAGUUAGUUGUGUAGGGGUAAAAUCCGUAGAGAUAACUAGGAAUACCAAAAGCGAAGGCAAUCUUCUGGAACACUACUGACGCUGAGGCGCGAAAGCGUGGGGAGCAAACGGGAUUAGAAACCCUAGUAGUCC
rnacentral:rRNA from 1 species